rnacentral:rRNA from 1 species
GACGAACCGAGCGAACGUUGUUCGGAAUCACUGGGCGUAAAGGGCGCGUAGGCGGGCUGUCAAGUCUGGGGUGAAAUCCCGCGGCUCAACCGUGGAACUGCCUCAGAUACUGACGGCCUCGAGGAAGGUAGGGGCGAGCGGAACUAAUGGUGGAGCGGUGAAAUGCGUUGAUAUCAUUAGGAACUCCGGUGGCGAAGGCGGCUCGCUGGACCUUUUCUGACGCUGAGGCGCGAAAGCUAGGGGAGCAAACGGG